rnacentral:lncRNA from 1 species
UUUUAUGAUACUUUUCUAUUACUUAUUUUGCUGAAUUGUUAUUUUGUUGAUUUGCAAUUUUCUGUUGUAUCUAUCAAUAUGUCAACCGAGUUCAUAUUAAAAAAAAAGAAAUAUCAGCAUUAAAACUAAAAUAAUUGAAUCAGAGCACUGAGUGUUAUUAUAAUAGACUAAUGGAUCCAGCAACUUAUUUCACUAAAAUGAUUAUUUGUUUUCCUGCAGA